UACGUAGGGGGCAAGCGUUGUCCGGAAUCAUUGGGCGUAAAGAGCGUGUAGGCGGCCUCGUAAGUCUGCUGUGAAAGUCCAGGGCUCAACCCUGGGAUGUCAGUGGAUACUGUGAGGCUCGAGUCCGGAAGAGGAGUGUGGAAUUCCUGGUGUAGCGGUGAAAUGCGCAGAUAUCAGGAGGAACACCGAUGGCGAAGGCAGGUCUCUGGGCAUUAACUGACGCUGAGGAGCGAAAGCAUGGGGAGCGAACAGG
rnacentral:rRNA from 1 species